UGCCUUGCAGAAGAAGGUGGAAGGCUUCAGAUAUUGGAAAGUAUGUGCUAAGUGGGUACUACUGUAGAUGAUAAUCAAGCUGAAGAAGAGAAGAGUGGAAGCCUUCUUCGAUCUGUAGAAAGCAUUAAAAGCCAAUGAGGAAUCCCCGAUCUGCAAAAGGACCUAAUCCAGGUAAUAAGUCAAUACGUACUGACAGAAUAAUUGCUAACCACCCACUCUCUCUACCUACCACCCCCACUUCAAAAAAAUGUAUACAUCACACAAGUUUGUCACAUCCGGUCCCUUCCUUUGGACGCAUCCGGAUUGCUUUCCUACGAGGACAUAGCUAACAUACUAUACAAAGGAGUUAUUUAUUUCCGCAUCAUUUGACAAUAAACUAUCAAUCCUCUUCUUUUCCCUCUCAGAAUGAAUACACAAUAUCUUAUGUUUGUUUCGUUAUGGAAAACAUUUUUACGUCAAACUGAACUUCCUGACACAUUUCACAAAACAUGCAAAUUGAAAUUAAAAAAAGAAACAUGUUACAUUUUCUAUGAAUGGUAAUCUAAAAAAGGAAAUGAAAUAAAAUGUAUUUAUAGUACAUCGUUUAUUGACUUUAAUUAUCUUCUUGCGAGUAUAAUAAAUAGUUGUCUCCGGGGAGGAAAGAGCGCUGGUUAUAACCCAUUAUUUCUUCAGAAAGAAACAAGUUAUCCUCAAAUCGGAGACCUGGUCUAAACGCUUGCAGCAGAGUGAACUCCGACAAAGUCACCUAAGGGCCAGACGGUGGUGUUAAAUCGAGGGACUGAUUAAGCCUACCACCCAAGAACUCAGAAUGUAUAGAGCGACUAGCGUAGCUAGAGUGUCUAUUGCCCUGGAUGGCCCUUCAGUUUACCCCACAAAAAAUACAUAUUGCUUACAGCGGACCCAAGAGUAGUUCCGCCCGGGGCGUACCUCGCCCUUUAGCUAAGACAAAUACCGCUAGAUAUAUCGCCUAACGCUCUAAUAAUUCCUCAGAUCCAACACGCUGGACCUUUGUACUCUGCCAAUUCAUCAUCUAAAAUGUAUCGUACUAAUUGGCUUUAUACAUAUAUGCAUGCAAAUGCUUGACUAAGACAUUUUACUAGACACCCCUUCAAUGGAAAACGAACACCAAAACAUAUAGCAGCACAACAUGAGGAAAAUGGGUCCUUCUUUCUCCAUUCUAAAACCGUGAAAACAAUUAGACCUCGCACUUACGACGAAACAUGCUUUAGUAUUUCCGCUCCACAUCUACCUUUCACAUAUUAUCCAUUUAUCCAACUUUUAUGAAAUAGUUUUCUUGAGUUAACAUUCACAUAAUUAUAGAUUUAUGAUCCUCCAUGGUAACGAUAAGUUGUGUGCGGAGUUGGGUUGCAGGAGUAGCACUGACGAUUCUGUUUUUAUGUGGUGUAUAUUGCAAACUAAACAACCACAUAAAGCAGCGUUACGAGAAUUUU